rnacentral:lncRNA from 1 species
CGUACUUGAGAGUUUCCCGCCUCAUACGGCUCGGCAAUCAAUUCUUUUGGUGUCCCGGGUUUUUGAAUCUAGUAUAUCGAAUUGAAUGAGAUUUCUCAUAGAUCGAUCUUUAUCUUUAUUCUUUUUUUUGGGGGUUAACCAAAAGAGGUUAAUUCCAUGAGCAUGAGUUUCAAACUUGACUUUUGAUUAAAUUAAUAAUCAGCUUUGCUUUCAUUUUAUCUUUUCUCCCACCGUCAGAAGAAUAACAUAGAAGCAUUUCCACUAUAGUUAGAAUUUUCUGAAAGGUAUCUAUCUCGGUUUCAUAUAAAAAUUGAUAUAGAAUCUUUGAAAAAGCCCUUUCUUCCUAAGAAAGAAAAGGCUUACUGUCUUUGGAUCUGAUGCUACACCGCUGCUCAAUACCUUAGGGGAUCGACUUUAUUACAUAAGUGGAUUCCUUACUUUUAUCUCAUAUCAUGACAUAAAUAAGCAGUUCUUAUUGGAUCGGCAUCGGCCCAAAACCUCGCGAAUUGAUCUUUACGGUGCUUCCUCUAUCAAUUAGAUCCUUUAUCCAUAGAAUAAACUAUCUAGGCAUAUCGAUUUCUUCAUAUUUCGACUUCUAUGAAGUUUCUUUCUUUGCUACAGCUGAUAAAAAUCGUUUUUGCACGAUGCAUAUGUAGAAAGCCUAUUUUUUUUUUUUUCGAGUAUUUAUUAGUGUAUUUGCUCUUUACCCCCCCUCCUUUUUUUUUUUCUUUUACUUUUUUCUUUCUAUAGUAGAGAUAGUCGCACGUAAUGACAGAUCACAGCCAUAUUAUUAAAAGCUUGUGGUAAGAACGGAUUUCGUUCUAGUGCCCGAAAAUAAUAUUCUAAAGCUUUUGUAUGUUCUCCGUUACUUGUGUGGAUAAGGCCUAUGUUAUAGAGUAUAUAGCUUCGAUCGUAAGGAUCAAUUUCUAGUCGCAUAGCUUCAUAAUAAUUCUGUAAAGCUUCCGCAUAAUUGCCUUCAGAUUGAGCUGACAUCCGUUACGGUCGUCAUUCGAUUCAAAGAAUUCUCCGUUUCAAAACCGUACAUGAGAUGAAAAUCUCAUACGGCUCCUCCUUUAUGUGCAUUAUGAGAAUAAUCCAUGAAAUCAAAAAAGAUUGAAAUAUUCUCAUUAUGAACUAAGUGGGGCUAAUGUUUUUACAAGAAAUCUCUAGCCAACCUUCCUGCAAAAGCUUUUUUCUUAAUAUCACGCGUGUUGGUACUAGAUAAAACCGGAAACUCCAACAAUUUCUUUGUUCUCAACGCCCCUUAAUUUACAGGAAUUAAUCACUUCAACAGUCUUCGAUGGUUAUACGGGUAUCCACAGUACGAACGAGAUGGAUGUUUGUUAUCCCAACCAUUCUUCUUAGUCCCGAUCCCGCUAAGGAAAGGGGGCAGCUUAUAACAAAGUUUUCGUGUUGCUGAUUCCUAGACGUAGCGCCUCUUCCCCUAUGCCGCCUAUUGGUACUGGUGUAGUAGGGUUGACUUGCAAUACAGAACCCAUAGGUGUAACCUUUCGCUCAAUACUAGAAUCGACAAUUGAAGCAUCUGAGGCUGCAUUAAUCGGGAUACACGACAGAAGGAAUGGUUUUAUCUAUAAACUUCACCUUCAACAAGCGUAGAUUUUUUCAAUAAUCUUUUUUUUUUUUUUUUCUAUCCCGAAUUGUCUUUCUUUCUUCUAAGACCGAAAGGGUAAAUAAAAAACUAAUCAAAUCGCACCAUCUCUGUAAUAGGUAAAUGCCUCUUUUUCUCCUACAGUUGUCGGAAUUAUUCGUAAUAAUAUAUUGGCUACAAUCGAAAAGGUCUUAUCAAUAAAAUUUCCGUUUAUCCGCGAUCUAGGCAUAGGUAAAAAUCCAUUCUAUAAUUCGUUUCAUUACCUCUUGUGAGAAAAUGAUCCCACAAACAAAGGAAUUGUACAGUACAAAAUAACAUAAAAGCAGACGUGUUAAAAAAAAUAAAAAAAAAAAAUAGACCGAUCCGUUGAUUCGUUCCAACUCAUUGAUUAAAUCAGGUAGAAAUAUCAGAAAAAAAAAAAAAAAGGAGCGCCAUCUUUGCAAACAAGAUAUAUAGCCUUAUUGUUUUUUGUUUUGAACAGUUUUUCACAAACAAAAAAGUUAUCCUUUUCCCCAGACUCAAAGGAAGAAUUUUUUCUUUGCUGAAAGGGUUUCUAUUUUUCUAGUUAGAACGGAUUCGAUUGUCCGUACCCAUCUACCAAUCGAAUUUGAACAACUCGCUAUUCACGCGGGUUCUCGGUCAUAAUCAUUGUGUAGGAGAGAUGGCCGAGUGGUUCAAGGCGUAGCAUUGGAACUGCUAUGUAGACUUUUGUUUACCGGGGGUUCGAAUCCCUCUCUUUCCGUACCUUGAACUAAUUCAUCAAUGUUACUGACCGGAAUGUAUCCAAGCAAAAAAGAAUGAAUACCGAAGCAGUCAGACCUUUUUUUGAGCUAGAUUCUCAAUUCCUACGGGAAAGAAAGGGAAGGGCAGGCAGGGGAUAAAAAUCUACCCUCGGAUCUAUGAUACAUGAAUGGGAUAAAAAAAAACUCCACGGAUCAAACUCCUUACCUUGUAUCCCUUUCCUUAAGUUAGGUGAAAGGGUAAAUUUGUACGAGCCCGUUAUUUUAGUUAGGUUUAAGUUUGACGAGAAUAAUAUUCUACGACAAGCAAUUCAUUUAUUUUCAAACCGACCCAUUGACUAUCUAUUAUUUGAUUGACUAAUCCUUUAUAUUGGAAUGCGCGAAGAGUCAAAUGCUUUGGCAAUUCCUCAUGGUGGGAUGAAUCAAGAUAAUUUUGAACCAGAGAUCUAGAUUUUGGGUCAUCCCUUACUGUAAUAAUAUCUCGGGGUUUGCAACGAUAACUUGGUAUAUCGACUAUACGACCAUUAACUAAAAUAUGUCGAUGGUUAACCAAUUGGCGGGCUUGAGGAAUAGUUGAAGCCAUACCCAAUCGAAAAAGAAUGUUAUCCAAACGCAUUUCAAGUAAUUGUAGUAAAACCAGACCGGUUGACCCUUUGGCUUUUCUGGCGAUACGAACAUAUUUAAGUAAUUGUCGUUCUGUAAGACCAUAAUGAAAACGCAAUUUUUGUUUUUCUUCUAAACGAAUUCGAUAUUGAGAUUUUUUUUACGGAGCGCAAUUGGUUUCUAAAAUCGCUUCCGGCUCUAGGCCUUUUACUCGUUAGUCCCGGCAAAGCCCCCAGACGGCGUAUUUUUUUGAAACGAGGCCCUCGGUAACGUGACAUAAAGACUCCUUAUUUUAUUGAAUUUCAUAAACCUAAAUUAAAACUGAGCUACAUGAUAAAUGAAGCAAAAUCCGCUGAAGUAUUGUACUACAAAGAAUACUAAGAUGAUUUGUAUCAAAUUCCAGACCCCUUUUUGUAUUGUAUACGCAUAUAGAAAUAUAAAUCAAAAGAGGGUUCCUUUUCUUGAUUUAUUCUGCCGAAAUCGAACUUCCUCCAACUUUUAUUCAUAAUUGGAAGCUCCUACAACAUACUGGAUCGAUGAUCCUUGGAAGAAGCCUUUUCAAUGUUCUUUUCUUUCAAAAAGACAUUAUCAAUCAUGUAAAAAAUCAAACAAAUAGAGAAAAGCCGGCUAUCGGAAUCGAACCGAUGACCAUCGCAUUACAAAUGCGAUGCUCUAACCUCUGAGCUAAGCGGGCUUAAAUAAGAGAAAUUGUACAUGCGUAGGGAUCCUAGGAUCUUAUCUAUUAACCUUUUAUUCUUAGCUAUUCAUAAAGAAUAAAAUAGAGAAUCGAAUUUCAAAUAAAUGUUGAAUACUAUAGAUAUAGAACAUAACGAUUAAUCUAACAAUUACGAGAAUCUAGUGAUGAUAUAUAUUAGCGAAUUUGGAUUUUUUAUCAAUUCUAUAUUGAUCAACAAUAAAUAUCUUACUCUUAAUUAGAUAAUAAAAUACGAUUUGAUUUAUUUAUUAUUUUUUUUUUUUUCAUUUUUGAAUUCAAGACAUUUAAAAUUAUUUUUUUGUUUCUAACCUAAGAUUCUUAAUAUAUUCUAUUCGAUUAUUCUAUAUUAUAGAAUAUACAUAAUAUUCGAUUAUUAUUCUAUAUUCUAUAUAUAUUUAGUUAUUCUAAAUCGAAUAUUAUAUUCGAUUCUUAUUAUCCAUUUUCGAAAUUCUAAAUUUGCUCUAUUCUAAUUCGAAAUAAUUAGGCUUUAGACUAAAUAAUUAGAAUUAUCUUCGAAUUCUAAUUUAAUUGACUGAGUAGUUAUAGCUAUUCUAUUGAUUAGGUCUAGCUAUUAUAUUCUAAAUGAUUAAUAAAAAUGAUUUAUUUUUAUUUAAUAAAUUGAAAUUGGAAUUUGAGUUAUUUUUGGUUAUGUUAUAUAGGUUCUUCCUUAAGGAAAGGGCAAGUAUAAAUAGAAAAUGAAAUGAAAGAGAAAGAUACAAUCCCGCUAAAUGGAAUCUGGAUUAGAAUGAGACAUUUUUGUUUUCAUUCGAAAAGGGGCGUAAGAAAAAAACGAAAAAAUAAAUCGACCGUUCGAGUAUUCCGCCGGAUUGCACGAAAAAAAUGAGAGUAAGGGGGGCAUAUAUAUUUUAUGGUAGUUUAUAUCCAUCUAUAUUGAAUUGCGGAUACAGAAAAGAUAGAAUCAUUUCUGACAAGAAAGCAAAACACCUUUCGAUAUAUAUAAAUCCAUAUCUACGGAAUUCUACUGUUUCCGCAGAAAUGAAAGAAAGGGGGAACAGCAUUGAGUUCCUAAAACACAAAGGGGAUAUGGCGAAAUUGGUAGACGCUACGGACUUAAUUGGAUUGAGCCUUAGUAUGGAAACUUACUAAGUGAUAACUUUCAAAUUCAGAGAACCCAGGAAUUAAAAAUGGGUAAUCCUGAGCCAAAUCCUCUUCUCUUUUCCAAGAACAAACAGGGGUUCAGAAAGCGAAAAAGGGGAUAGGUGCAGAGACUCAAUGGAAGCUGUUCUAACAAAUGGAGUUGACUGCCCUUUUUGGUAAAGAAAAAAGAAAGUCAAAUGAAUGCUUCUAUCGAAUAUCGAAACUCGAUAAAGGAUGAAGGAUAAGGGUAUAUAGACUAUGUAUACGCAGCGAAAAAACUAACUCAAAAAUCACAACCAAAUACGUAUUUCUUUUUAUGAAAAAGAAAAGAAUUGUUAUUGUUAUGAAUCGAUUCUAAGUUGAAGAAAGAAUCGAAUAUUCCCGGCUCAAAUCAUUCACUCCACCUCCAUGGUCUGAUCGAUCCUUUCUUUUGACUUUUGAAGAACUGAUUAAUCGGACGAGAAUAAAGAUAGAGUCCCAUUCUACAUGUCAAUAUCAAUACGGGCAACAAUGAAAUUUAGAGUAAAAGGAAAAAUCCGUCGACUUUAGAAAUCGUGAGGGUUCAAGUCCCUCUAUCCCCACCCCAAAAAAAGGCCUAUUGACUCCCUAACCAUUUCUCCUACCUUCUCCUUUUUUUGUUAGUGGUUCAAAAGUCGGUAGGUUUCUCAUCUAUCCUACUCUUUUCCAUUUCCAAAAGGAUAUGGGCAGAAUUUUUUUCUCUUAUCACAAGCCGUAUGGUCUAUACGAUAUAUGUAGAAAUGAACACCUUUGAGCAAGGAAUCCCCGUUUUAAUGAUUCCCAAUCCAUAUUAUUGCUCAUACUGAAACUUACAAAGUCUUCUUUUGAUGAUUCAAGAAAUGAAAUUCCCUCCCAAGACUUUUAAUCCCUGUUUAUUUUUUAAUUGACAUAGACCCAAGUCAUCUAGUAAGAUGAGAACGGUGUGUCGGAAAUGGUCGGGAUAGCUCAGCUGGUAGAGCAGAGGACUGAAAAAUCCUCGUGUCACCAGUUCAAAUCUGGUUCCUGGCAAUAUUAAUAUCUAUGAGUAUCUAUCACUACAAAUUCAGUGAUAUGGCUCGCCAUACAUAUUCAUUUAUAGAUCAUGAUACAUACAUACUUAUCCAUCUAGCUCGAUGUCUGGGAAUAGGCCUUUUUUUCUUUUAUUUUUUUUUUAUUUUAUUUCUUCCUUCCCCUCUCUGUGACCCGCUAGAGCCCGUCGAAGUGGUGUGCGCGAUACAAAGUUCAUGAUACAGAACUCUUUAAUUUCUUUAUCCCAUUCACAUAAUAAUACGAAUGAGACUUCAAUUCCUCCGUUUGAUCUAGAGAAAGAACGUACAAAUAUUUCUUGAAUAUUGGGUCAAAAUGAAGAUUAAUUUCUUAGAAUUCAAUAAGCAUCUUGUAUUUCAUAAAAUUGGGGAUUUUUCGGGUUGUGAGACACAUUAAAAUUCACUAUAAGUCUAAAAUGCAAAUAAAAAAAAAAACACAAAAAUUCGUGGAGGGGUCAAACUUCUGGAACUCGAAUGAAAAAUAAACAAUAAAAUUAUAUUUUUAAAAUUCGAUUAUUAGAUAGAACGAAAAAUUAUAUUAUUAUAAAAAAAAAAUAAGAUUAAAAAUAAUAAUAUCGAAAUUAGAUAAUUAGAAUCUAUUUAAUAGAAUCUGAUAAGAUAUAUAAUUAUCUAAUAAUUAAUAGAAAUAUAUAUUAUUAAUAGAAAAAUAUCUAUAUAUUAGAAAUAAAUAGUAAUAUAAUAAUUAAUAGAAAUAAAUAUUGAAAACUAUUCAAUAAUGAAUAUUAAUUAAUAUUAAUUAAUAUAUUGAAAAUUGCAAUAUGUACUUGGCUUUCAUUUAAAUUGGUUUGGUAGUGGAAUUUGAUGGAAUUACCCUGAAAGAGAGUAUCUGGCCUAACUCUGGAUAAAGAUUUUCCAGCCAUUUCAAGAAAAAAAUGCGGAUAUAGUCGAAUGGUAAAAUUUCUCUUUGCCAAGGAGAAGACGCGGGUUCGAUUCCCGCUAUCCGCCAAGGUAAAGUAAUGUAGUUAAUAGGAUAAACGACUUCUUAGUUAAUAGGAUAAACGACUUCUUAGUUAAUAGGAUAAACGACUUCUUAUAGUUGACCGUGAUAGUAUAGCGGUUCUAUCUUUCCACCCCAAGAAAAAAAAAAAAAAAAAAGAGAAAAGUGCUAAUUAAUAGUUAACAGAAUCAAACCUCAUUUUUUUGUCAAAAAAUAAAAAAAUGUUGCGGAGACGGAUUUGAACCCGUGACCUCAAGGUUAUGAGCCUUGCGACUUACCAAACUGCUCUACCCCGAUGAAGAGAAGGACUGGAAGAACUAAGAAACAAACAAGGAUUGAAUGCGCCCCUUUUCCAUACCCGUACAAAUAAGAAUAGCCUAUUUGUACAGAAUGGUAAAAGGGGCCGCCUCUAUGAUUGAUAGAUCAUAGAAAUCCAAUCGAAAAAAGAAAAAUGAAGGAUAUUUUAAUCCUUACCAACUUGAUCUUGUUUGCCCCGGCAACAAACACGCAUGAACCAUUUCACGAAGUAUGUGUCCGGAUAGUCCAAAGUCUCGAUAAGUUAGCUCUCGGCCUUCCGGUCAAAAAACAACGUCGAUGAAGACGGGUAGGUGCACUAUUACGCGUGAGGAUUGUAACUUUCCAUGAAUUUUCCAUUUAUCGCUCAACGAUGAGCUUUGUUUAUUUCUUUUUUUGAGGAUCGACGAAUCAAAUGAUAUUUUUGUUCCAUUUGUGCC